UAGGGAAUCUUCCACAAUGGACGCAAGUCUGAUGGAGCAACACCGCGUGAGUGAAGAAGGGUUUCGGCUCGUAAAGCUCUGUUGUUAAAGAAGAACACGUAUGAGAGUAACUGUUCAUACGUUGACGGUAUUUAACCAGAAAGUCACGGCUAACUACGUGCCAG
rnacentral:rRNA from 1 species